rnacentral:rRNA from 1 species
UAAGCGGAGGAAAAGAAACUAACAAGGAUUCCCCUAGUAACUGCGAGUGAAGCGGGAAGAGCUCAAAUUUUAAAUCUGGCAGUUUCAAACUGUCUGAAUUGUAAUCUAGAGAAGCAUUAUCCGUACCAGACCGUGUACAAGUCUUCUGGAACGAAGCGUCACAGAGGGUGAUAAUCCCGUAUCUGACAUGGACUACUGGUGCUUUGUGAUGUGCUCUCGAAGAGUCGAGUUGUUUGGGAAUGCAGCUCUAAAUGGGUGGUAAAUUCCAUCUAAAGCUAAAUAUUGGCGAGAGACCGAUAGCGAACAAGUACCGUGAGGGAAAGAUGAAAAGAACUUUGGAAAGAGAGUUAAACAGUACGUGAAAUUGUUGAAAGGGAAACGCUUGAAGCCAGUCACAUUGAUCAGAAAUCAACCUUGCUUUUCAAGCUUGGUGCAUUUUCUGAUUCAAUGGGUCAGCAUCAAUUUUGAUCAACAGAGAAAGUUUGAAAGAAUGUAGCAUCUUUUAGAUGUGUUAUAGAUUUCAAUUGUAUGUGUUGGUUAAGAUUGAGGAUUUCAGCAUGCCGCAAGGCCGGAUUUCGAUCACGCUCAUGCUUGGGAUGCUGGCAUAAUGGCUUUAAUCGACCCGUCUUGAA